UGUUGACAAGGCUGUGUGCUGAAUACUAGCUAGAUUUCGCUUGUUGAUUGUGUUAUGUCAUACCAUGGUCCUGUGCAUGGUCAUACGUACGAGUUCAGGUCCUCAGGAACUAAGCAGGCUCAGAUGGCACAAAAUGGGUGGGUUCGUCGAUCCAGGACCACAAUGUCGUCGAUCUGGCGAUAAAAUAUUCCACUAAGUACAAAAUGGUCCUCAGCCUGAAGAAGUUUCUUCUCUUUCGGCUGUCAAUACCGUGGACAAUGGGCCAUGCGAUAUGUCUGUGGUCCCAUGCCUUAAAUCGUGCAUCAACUUCAUUAGUGGGAUCGCAUCCCCAUUCCCCACGCUUCCUUCUGAGCUCUCGAACUGUUAGGCCUAUGACUGAGCCUGCUUUUGGGUGCCUGUUCCCCGCAUGCCCUUAACUAUGUAUCCGCAAGGCUCAAAGUGGGAUCGAGGCUUUCGACGAGAGAGAGGUCCUUCUUCAACCAUGAAUUCCAGGCUGAUAUUGCAAAUUCAAGGUGUGGGCCAGUCCAGCCAGGCCUGAUUAACUUCUGUGAAAGAGGACCGACCCAUUUUGUAGCCAGUAUGAUCUUUUGAUCUGACCUAAAAUUCGUCUUUUUGACUAGAUUUCCCCUGUGGAUGGAAAGGUUAAAAUUUAUAGGCAUGGUUAUUCCGGUAUCGCUGUGGCUUUUUCUUUGAUGGCUAUGAUGGAGGAGUCGUUUAUCUUUUAUAAGUAUUCAAAAUUUCUUGAACCUACGUGAAUAUUAGUUUGAGACCCAGCAAAGCAUUGACAUGGACUUCAUUUCUUAUUGCCCACUCUGCUCAGACAUGUGAUUAACGUCUUGCUUUGAAUGCAGUUUCAAUAUCUUGUAAGUGAAGUCAAUCUUGCUUAGUGAUGGAGAUUCUUCAUUUUUCAAUAAUCUGCGUUAUCAAGGCCUUGGCAAAGUCAAGAUAGACAACAUCAGCUUACCCAUGUCUCUAUAGUUCCUCAAUAAUCUGUUCUAUAUGUUCAAUCAGUUGGGUCACUGUGCUAAGACAAGGACACUAAAGCAAGGAAACGCCACCUUUUUGUGAUCACCAAACCUUUCCCGCCAAGUAAGGCCUAAAUUUUUGCUGCUGAAAUUUUUGAAUGUUAGUUAUUGGCAUAAUUAUUGAACAAAACAUGUGACUAAUAUCAUUUUCGUAACCAUUGAUGGUAUGUGCUUAAAACCAGGCAUUCAGAUAAACUUAAAAUGACUUUAAACAUGUCUUAAAGUUCAACAACUGAAAAGUGCUAAUUAGGUUUUCUUGAUAAAACAAGAAUUUGCUCAAAACACAAUCAAUAAAUUCUCUUUUGCCAAAAAAAAAUUAUUUGUAGGAAAUUCUUUCAGACACAUCUUGACCAAAUUUCAAGUAAUUUGACGCAUUUGUUAUAAAACUAUGGUUCUCACUCUAGGAAUGGCCCUCAAUCCAAAAGUAGACAUACUGUAGCUCAGAGCUACACAUUGCUCUUUAAACUCAUUUGGAUGCUUCAUAAUCAUGAAAUAAUAAUUUUGAGAGAUAUGGCACCUGUUUUAUUUGACUAUUUUGGUAUUUUGGAUGCUUUUGCAAGAAAAACAAUUUAUUGGAGUACAAAGUGCAAAUUGAGAUCUAGUCUACUGUACUUUGAUAUUUCUCUGCGCCUCUUAAAUAAUGCCUGCCUUUUAUGCAAACUUCCUAAUAAGUAGAAAUUUAAACUCUACAAAAAGAUAACUCAUUCAUUUCUCACCAAUGCCGCCUGAUGUUUUUUGUCAAAUGUGUGGGUUUAGACAAAAUUAUCAAUUGUCCAUCCAAGAUAUUCUAAUAUGUUAACAUUUAUAUACAUGCACUUUUAUUGCUUAUUCCAUGCAUUUUUUAUAUUUUGUCAGUGUACAUUACCUAUCAAUUAAUAAAAUGACGCUUGAUGAUUUUCUAUCUA